rfam:Halobacteroides halobius DSM 5150, complete genome.
UAGAACUAAGAGACCAAACCAAUCAAAUGAUGGGGUAACGCCCUGAAGGGUUGGCAUUAAUACUCCGAAUUGCACCAUAGUAAUUAAGUACUAUGAUGUGAUAAGCUCGGUGAAGUCGGGGGAAGGUUAUCGUAAUUAUACGAAAGCUACCUUAGUCGGGUGGUAUAACUGAUACCUCGGAUGUCCACAAA